GUUCUUUUGCAUCUUCUCUAGCCUAGGAUAUUUACACCUCCAGCUUCUCUCGACUACCUACGCGCUCUAACAUGCCAAGUACUGAUUGGUUUAUCCAGAGACAAUACAAUUGCACACAUAUUAACAAAGCUUCAGUGUGACUUGCAUCCUAAUAUGGGCCACAUAUAAUCAAAAUCCUUCCUAUCCUCAGUGCAAGCAUCUGUUUUAGUUUCUCAGUGUUCAUCAAUCACCAGAUGGAAGGUGCUCCUAUCAAUUUUAGAGUUGUUCUUCUCCAAGUUUCUGAACUUGCCUGAUGUAAAUAGGAGGUUGAGGAAGACCAUCUCCAUCCUCUCAAGCGACCAGCCUCCCUGCCCUCAGCUGUAUCUGUACAGCAUAGCUGACAAGGUCAUUCCAGCUAGGUCGGCAGAGUCUUUUAUUCAGGAGCAGAAGAAAUCUGGGAGAAAGGUGAAACCGAAUGCAAUGGUUAAGGACACAACUUUCUUGGGGGCAUCGCUCUCUGAUCAUCUCAAACCUGACUUCAAUCCUCUUAUCAUGAAGAAACCCCAAACUGAAACUAAUACAAAAUUGGAUUAGUCCCAUCUUGUAUCCAGCAGGCUAGAGCUACCUGUUGAGGUUGCAGGGGCCUGCUACGCACAAUUCAAAUGGAGAAUGCUGGUAGAGGCAAUGAUGACGUUGGCCUGGAAGCAGCAGAAGAUGGACGAGCAAUGUUAUCUCAGGGUCCGCCAAGCACGGCAGCACUGGUGAUGACGGGCGCGACCAUGACUUUGUAUUAUUUGUGGAAC